UUCCGGUUGAUCCUGCCGGAGGCGACCGCUUUUGGAGUUCGAUUAAGCCAUGCGAGUAGAAUGAAUUAGAUCAUUGCGAACUGCUCAGUAACACGUGGAUAACCUGCCCUAUGCUCUGGGAUAACCUUGGGAAACUGAGAACAAGGCCGGAUAACCCACUAUGCCUGGAACGGUUUGUGGGUGAAGAUAGGAUGGGUCUGCGGCGUAUCAGGUCGUAGGGGGUGUAAUGGACCUCCUAGCCAUCGACGCGUACGGGUGUUGGGAGACAUAGCCCGGAGAUGGAUUCUGAGACACGAAUCCAGACCCUACGGGGUGCAGCAGGCGCGAAAACUUCACACUGCAGGAAACUGUGAUGAGGGAACUCCAAGUGCAUCCACUAUGUGGAUGCUUUUUUUGACUAUUAAUCGGUCAACGAAUAAGGGCUGGGAAAGACCGGUGCCAGCCGCCGCGGUAAUACCGGCAGCUCAAGUGGUCGUCGCUUUUAUUGGGCCUAAAACGUCCGUAGCCUGUUUGGUAAAUCUGUGGGUAAAUCAACCAGCUUAACUGGUUGAAUUCUGCAGAGACUGCCAGACUAGGGACCGGGAGAGGUGUGGGGUACUCUAGGGGUAGGGGUAAAAUCCUGUCAUCCUUAGAGGACCACCAGUUGCGAAGGCGCCACACUGGAACGGAUCCGACGGUCAGGGACGAAGCCUAGGGGCACGAACCGGAUUAGAUACCCGGGUAGUCCUAGGUGUAAACGCUGUGAACUUGGUGUCGGGGAUCCGUCAUGGGUCCCCGGUGCCGGAGUGAAGAUGUUAAGUUCACUGCCUGGGGAGUACGGUCGCAAGGCUGAAACUUAAAGGAAUUGGCGGGGGAGCACUGCAACGGGAGGAGCGUGCGGUUUAAUUGGAUCAACGCCGAA
rnacentral:rRNA from 1 species